GGGUUGUGAGGUUAAGCGACUAAGCGUACACGGUGGAUGCCCUGGCAGUCAGAGGCGAUGAAGGACGUGCUAAUCUGCGAUAAGCGUCGGUAAGGUGAUAUGAACCGUUAUAACCGGCGAUUUCCGAAUGGGGAAACCCAGUGUGAUUCGUCACACUAUCAUUAACUGAAUCCAUAGGUUAAUGAGGCGAACCGGGGGAACUGAAACAUCUAAGUACCCCGAGGAAAAGAAAUCAACCGAGAUUCCCCCAGUAGCGGCGAGCGAACGGGGAGCAGCCCAGAGCCUGAAUCAGUGUGUGUGUUAGUGGAAGCGUCUGGAAAGGCGCGCGAUACAGGGUGACAGCCCCGUACACAAAAAUGCACAUGCUGUGAGCUCGAUGAGUAGGGCGGGACACGUGGUAUCCUGUCUGAAUAUGGGGGGACCAUCCUCCAAGGCUAAAUACUCCUGACUGACCGAUAGUGAACCAGUACCGUGAGGGAAAGGCGAAAAGAACCCCGGCGAGGGGAGUGAAAAAGAACCUGAAACCGUGUACGUACAAGCAGUGGGAGCACAGAGCAAUCUGUGUGACUGCGUACCUUUUGUAUAAUGGGUCAGCGACUUAUAUUCUGUAGCAAGGUUAACCGAAUAGGGGAGCCGAAGGGAAACCGAGUCUUAACUGGGCGUUAAGUUGCAGGGUAUAGACCCGAAACCCGGUGAUCUAGCCAUGGGCAGGUUGAAGGUUGGGUAACACUAACUGGAGGACCGAACCGACUAAUGUUGAAAAAUUAGCGGAUGACUUGUGGCUGGGGGUGAAAGGCCAAUCAAACCGGGAGAUAGCUGGUUCUCCCCGAAAGCUAUUUAGGUAGCGCCUCGUGAAUUCAUCUCCGGGGGUAGAGCACUGUUUCGGCAAGGGGGUCAUCCCGA
rnacentral:rRNA from 1 species